rnacentral:rRNA from 1 species
UACGAAGGGGGCUAGCGUUGUUCGGAAUUACUGGGCGUAAAGCGCACGCAGGCGGCUCGAUAAAUUAGAAGUGAAAGCCCCGGGCUUAACCUGGGAAUUGCUUUUAAGACUGUCGAGCUAGAAUCCAGAAGAGGGUAGUGGAAUUCCGAGUGUAGAGGUGAAAUUCGUAGAUAUUCGGAAGAACACCAGUGGCGAAGGCGACUGCCUGGUCUGGCAUUGACGCUCAUGUGCGAAAGCGUGGGGAGCAAACAGG